rnacentral:rRNA from 1 species
GGUCACUGCUAUUGGGAUUCGACUAAGCCAUGCGAGUUGAGAGGGUUCGGCCCUCGGCAGACGGCUCAGUAACACGUGGAUAAUCUGCCCUUAGGUGGAGGAUAACCUCGGGAAACUGAGAAUAAUACUCCAUAGAUCUAGGAUGCUGGAAUGCACUUAGAUUGAAAGUUCCGGCGCCUAAGGAUGAGUCUGCGGACUAUCAGGUAGUAGUCAGGGUAAAGGCCUGACUAGCCUACGACGGAUACGGGUUGUGAGAGCAAUAACCCGGAGACGAUAUCUGAGACACGAUAUCGGGCCCUACGGGGCGCAGCAGGCGCGAAACCUUCACAAUGUGCGAAAGCGCGAUGAGGGGAUCCCAAGUGCUUGCUCGUAAGAGUAAGCUGUUUUUAUGUCUAAAACGCAUAGAGAGUAAGGGCUGGGUAAGACGGGUGCCAGCCGCCGCGGUAAUACCUGCAGCUCAAGUGGUGACCGCUAUUAUUGGGCCUAAAACAUUCGUAGCCGGUUUGGUAAAUGCCUGGGUAAAUCGUGUAGCUUAACUAUACGAAUUCCGGGUAGACUGCCAAACUUGAGACCGGGAGAAGCUAGAGGUACUCCUUGGGUAGAGGUGAAAUUCUGUAAUCCUAGGGGGACCACCAGUGGCGAAGGCGUCUAGCUAGAACGGGUUUGACGGUGAGGAAUGAAGCCCUGGGGCGCAAACCGGAUUAGAUACCCGGGUAGUCCAGGGUGUAAACGCUGCUUGCUUGGUGUUAGUUGGGCUCCGAGCCCAAUUAGUGUCGGAGAGAAGUUGUUAAGCAAGCUGCCUGGGAAGUACGAUCGCAAGAUUGAAAC